rnacentral:rRNA from 1 species
UACGUAGGGGCCUAGCGUUGUCCGGAUUUAUUGGGCGUAAAGAGCUCGUAGGUGGUUCGGUAAGUCGGAUGUGAAAUCUCCAGGCUCAACCUGGAGGGGUCAUUCGAUACUGCCGUGACUAGAGGUCGGUAGGGGAGUGUGGAAUUCCUGGUGGAGCGGUGAAAUGCGCAGAUAUCAGGAGGAACACCCGUAGCGAAGGCGGCACUCUGGGCCGAUACUGACACUGAGGAGCGAAAGCGUGGGGAGCGAACAGG